UACGAAGGGGGCUAGCGUUGCUCGGAAUCACUGGGCGUAAAGCGCACGUAGGCGGGUCUUUAAGUCAGGGGUGAAAUCCUGGAGCUCAACUCCGGAACUGCCUUUGAUACUGAAGAUCUCGAGUCCGGAAGAGGUGAGUGGAACUCCGAGUGUAGAGGUGAAAUUCGUAGAUAUUCGGAAGAACACCAGUGGCGAAGGCGGCUCACUGGUCCGGUACUGACGCUGAGGUGCGAAAGCGUGGGGAGCAAACAGG
rnacentral:rRNA from 1 species